AUCCUCUUGUAGUUCAUAAGCGUGAUGAUUGGGUGUUCAUGUUGUUGUGUGAUAUGUGCCUCCCUUAAACCUUGUUACGACAUUGGCACAUUGCCCAUCUGACA